GCUAAUUAAGUUUAUGUCUGAAUUUUUAAUUUGUAAUUAGAAGGUUUUUUAGCUG
rnacentral:tRNA from 1 species